AAAAUGCGAUAAGUAAUGUGAAUUGCAGAAUUCAGUGAAUCAUCGAAUCUUUGAACGCACAUUGCGCCCGCCAGUCUUCUGGCGGGCAUGCCUGUUCGAGCGUCAUUUCAACCCUCAAGCCCCCGGGUUUGGUGUUGGGGAUCGGGCUGCGGUUCUACCGCGUCCCGGCCCCGAAAUCUAGUGGCGGUCUCGCUGCAGCCUCCAUUGCGUAGUAGCUAACACCUCGCAACUGGAACGCGGCGCGGCCAAGCCGUUAAACCCCCAACUUCUGAAUGUUGACCUCGGAUCAGGUAGGAAUACCCGCUGAACUUAAGC
rnacentral:misc_RNA from 1 species